GACGAACCGUCCAAACGUUAUUCGGAAUUACUGGGCUUAAAGGGUGCGUAGGCGGCGCGGAAAGUUGGGUGUGAAAUCCCUCGGCUCAACCGAGGAACUGCGCCCAAUACUACCGUGCUUGAGGGGGAUAGAGGUGAGCGGAACUUAGGGUGGAGCGGUGAAAUGCGUUGAUAUCCUAAGGAACACCGGUGGCGAAAGCGGCUCACUGGAUCUCUUCUGACGCUGAGGCACGAAAGCUAGGGUAGCGAACGGG
rnacentral:rRNA from 1 species